CCUCGUAUGGUUUCCAUUAAACUCGCCAAAACCGUGCACUGAAAACGCAGCCCUGGAGCCGCCCGGGAGCCUCCGGGGUUUUUGCCCUGGCCAGGCUCUUCAGAGAAUCUCGGGCCGAGGAGGUGAAGGCCUCUGUUUACGUUCCCAGCCUAGUACCCAGCGGUCCCGGUCUUAAUGCUGUGAUUACUACGCUUUACUACUCCAGGAAAACCGUUUUCCAUGGUAAUAUUACCAUUCAUUCAUUCAGUAUGCAAGGCUUAGCUUAUGAGAAUUCUGUUUUAAUUCUAAAAAGCAAUGUCCCUUUACAAAGGGUUUACGAAAAUAACGUGGCCACAGAAAUUCAAUUUGACCAGCAGCACUGGUGUGGUUGGGCUAUACCUUCUCUCUUGCCUGUCCCCGAUUCCUCUACCCUCAAAAGGCAAAAACAAAUGUUAGCUUUGGAAAAAUACUCCCUCACAAAUGGGUUAGGGUUUGUGGUCCAAAAAGAGGGAGCAGGCUAUGAUAACUGGAAUGUUCCUUAAAUUCAUCAAAGACCCAAACUUAAAGGAAGAAUUUUCAACAGAAGAUCUACCACCUCAUAAAGAAGAGAUCUUGAUUAAUAACCUGAGGUCACUCAGACCUUGGUCUGGGGAAGAAUGGAGUCUCUUGGUCCCUGGGAGCCACUGCACUUCACUUACUCCAGGGCCUGCUGUAUGGACAUUUGCCUGCUUAGUUGUAGUUAUUCACAAAAUAAACCCCACUUUCUGCAGGA